rnacentral:rRNA from 1 species
GUAGGGAAUUUUCGUCAAUGGGGGGAACCCUGAACGAGCAAUGCCGCGUGAGUGAAGACGGUCUUCGGAUUGUAAAGCUCUGUUGCGAGAGAAAAAGGACAGGCAGAGGGAAUGCUGUUUGUUUGAUGGUAUCUCGCCAGAAAGUCACGGCUAACUACGUGCCAGCAGCCGCGGUAAUACGUAGGUGGCGAGCGUUAUCCGGAAUGAUUGGGCGUAAAGGGUACGUAGGCGGCCAGAUAAGUCUGGUGUGAAAGGCUGCAGCUCAACUGCAGCACUGCACUGGAAACUGUCCGGCUGGAGUGCAGAAGAGGGCGAUGGAACUCCAUGUGUAGCGGUAAAAUGCGUAGAUAUAUGGAAGAACACCGGUGGCGAAGGCGGUCGCCUGGUCUGCAACUGACGCUGAAGUACGAAAGCGUGGGGAGCAA